CCUACGGGAGGCAGCAGUGAGGAAUAUUGGUCAAUGUGCGGAAGCCUGAACCAGCCAAGUCGCGUGAGGGAAUAAGGCCCUACGGGUCGUAAACCUCUUUUGCCGGGGAGCAAGGGCUGGGACGUGUCCCUGCCCGGAGAGUACCCGGAGAAAAAGCCUCGGCUAACUCCUUGCCAGCGGCCGCGUUAAUCCGGAGGAUGCGAUCUUUAUCCGGAUUUAUUGGGUUAAAGGGUUGCGUAGGCGGGCUUUUAAGUCAGCGGUAAAAAUUCGGGGCUCAACCCCGUUCGGCCGUUGAAACUGGGGGCCUUGAGUGGGCGAGAAGAAGGCGGAAUGCGUGGUGUAGCGGUGAAAUGCAUAGAUAUCACGCAGAACCCCGAUUGCGAAGGCAGCCUUCCGGCGCCCUACUGACGCUGAGGCACGAAAGUGCGGGGAUCGAACAGGAUUAGAUACCCGUGUAGUC
rnacentral:rRNA from 1 species